rnacentral:rRNA from 1 species
AAUAUGGGUAAAUGGGCGCAAGCCUGAACUAGCCACGUCGCGUGAAGGAAGAUGGCCCUACGUGUUGUAAACAUCUCUUGUACGGGAAUAUAGUGCAGUACGUGUACUAUUUUGCAUGUACAUUACGAAUUAUGAUCGUAUAACUCCGUUCCAGCUGCCGCGGUAAUGCGGAGGAUCCGAGCGUUAUCCGGAUUUAUUGGGUUUAAAGGGUGCGCAGGCGGGAGAUUCAGUCGGCGGUGAAAUUUUGCAGCUCAACUGUAAAAGUGCCUUCGAAACUGGUUUCCUUGAGUGUGGAUGAAGUAGGCGGAAUUUGUGGUGUAGCGGUGAAAUGCAUAGAUAUCACGAGGAACUCCGAUUGCGCAGGCAGCUUACUAAGCCAUAACUGACGCUCAGGCACGAAGGCGUGGGGAUCAAACAGG